UCCUGGGAUUGGCGGGCAUCCCUUUGGGGAACCUGGGGACAGUUUGGUCCCCCAAUUCCUUGCUGGCACCAGGGACAUCCCAGUGACCAACAAGGUCUCCUGGUCUCUCUGCAGUUGGAUUUAGACAAUGUUGACAUCCUGGAGACACCUCUGCCCCCUGUGGGUGAAAAGCUAGAGGGUCUUCUGCGGCAGAAGCGCCUGGCUGCCUCUCUCCAUGGAUAGGUGAGCAGCAUUUGGUGGUCCCCAGACCCCCACAUGAUUCUGUGAAAUUCAUGGGUAACCGUGAUA
rnacentral:lncRNA from 1 species